rnacentral:rRNA from 1 species
GACGAACGCUGGCGGCGUGCUUAACACAUGCAAGUCGAACGGAAAGACCCUGCUUUUGUGGGGUGCUCGAGUGGCGAACGGGUGAGUAACACGUGAGUAACCUGCCCUUGACUUUGGGGUAACUUCAGGAAACUGGGGCUAAUACCGGAUAGGAGCUCCUGCUGCAUGGUGGGGGUUGGAAAGUUUCGGCGGUUGGGGAUGGACUCGCGGCUUAUCAGCUUGUUGGUGGGGUAGUGGCUCACCAAGGCUUUGACGGGUAGCCGGCCUGAGAGGGUGACCGGCCACAUUGGGACUGAGAUACGGCCCAGACUCCUACGGGAGGCAGCAGUGGGGAAUAUUGCACAAUGGGCGGAAGCCUGAUGCAGCAACGCCGCGUGCGGGAUGACGGCCUUCGGGUUGUAAACCGCUUUCGCCUGUGACGAAGCGUGAGUGACGGUAAUGGGUAAAGAAGCACCGGCUAACUACGUG